GAAGUCAGACCGGAAGGACUGGUGGAGCGCUUAGAAGUGAGAAUGCCGGUAUGAGUAGCGAAAGACGGGUGAGAAUCCCGUCCACCGAAUGCCUAAGGUUUCCUGAGGAAGGCUCGUCCGCUCAGGGUUAGUCGGGACCUAAGCCGAGGCCGAAAGGCGUAGGCGAUGGACAACAGGUUGAUAUUCCUGUACCACCUCCUCACCAUUUGAGCAAUGGGGGGACGCAGGAGGAUAGGGUAAGCGCGGUAUUGGAUAUCCGCGUCCAAGCAGUUAGGCUGGGAAAUAGGCAAAUCCGUUUCCCGUGAAGGCUGAGCUGUGAUGGCGAGCGAAAUUUAGUAGCGAAGUUCCUGAUUCCACACUGCCAAGAAAAGCCUCUAGCGAGGUGAGAGGUGCCCGUACCGCAAACCGACACAGGUAGGCGAGGAGAGAAUCCUAAGGUGAUCGAGAGAACUCUCGUUAAGGAACUCGGCAAAAUGACCCCGUAACUUCGGGAGAAGGGGUGCUUCUUAGGGUGUUAAAGCCCCGAGAAGCCGCAGUGAAUAGGCCCAGGCGACUGUUUAGCAAAAACACAGGUCUCUGCGAAGCCGUAAGGCGAAGUAUAGGGGCUGACGCCU
rnacentral:rRNA from 1 species